GCUUACGGCCACACCACGGCCUGAGUACCGCCUGAUCUCGUCCGAUCUCGGAAGCUAAGCAGGGUCGGGCCUGUUUAGUACUUGGAUGGGAGACCGCCUGGGAAUACCAGGUGCUGUAAGCU
rnacentral:rRNA from 1 species